GAAGAGGUUUCUGUGCAGGGGUCGAGGAUGAGUGGGGAGCCAGGCUACAACGGAAGCCUAUGGUACAGAGAGCUCAGUGGUUUUACAUUGAGGAAUUGACCUUUGGAGGGCUCAAUACUAUUGCAUCGCUGCACUAGGGUGGGGAUCAAAGGCAACAGAACGAGAGCAGCGGAGAAGCGUUCCCUUAAAAGCUGCUUAACAGGUGAUACCAAAGUACUGAUACAGCAAGAAGGACAAAAGUUCAUGCUGCCCCAAGCACCACUAUGUGCAGCGCCAAGCUCCGUAACCCCUACAACGGCCGCUCUCAAACAGAGGCGUUGUUUAUCCUUUCCCCAACCCUGGCAGCGCAGUGGGUGUGGCUCAGCUAUACUGAUAUUGGCCUGCUGCUGCGGCUGCUGCUGAAGGCCGCCCCAGGGCUUGCGGAGGACUCCUGCAGACAGAGGCUGCUCUCUGGUAGAGCCGAGCCCGUGUAAACGGUGCGGCAGCAGCUGCCCGCUCCUUUCGUUCCCCCGUCCCGGCGCAAGGGAACAGGGGACACAGGGCAGGCCCUAUCCAGAAGGCAUGGUAUAGGAAAAAAUGCAAAGACGCUUGUUGGAAAAUUUGCAAAUGGCAAUCAACAUUGGCAUCAUUAGCAGAGUGUUUGCAGGGAUGGGCAUCUUGAUGGUGUGUAAGUGAUGAACGGUACUGUGACGAUAGACCAUGAAGACCCAUAAAAGAUUUUGGCCAUGGCAACGAUGUACUUGGCAACUGCCAUCCUGUCCUUGGCCACUGCAAUGAUCUCCUUCAAAAGCAACUUGACUGCUCUCCUCUCGGUCCUCAAACAUUGCCUCCACCUCCACUCUCCGCAAUCUUUUUUUAUGUUUUUUUUGUGGUGCGUGGGGGGGCUCUGCGAUGAUGUGAUGGAAUGUUUGCAGACAAGUUUUUUUCAUCACAAAAUCACUUUUCCCACUCAGAUAUACCCAAGACCACAGACCCUGACCCAAAGAUUUUCUGAAAAAUAGUGUGGAGGAAACUGGGUGACUAAAGACUAGAAUUACAGCAAUACGAUCACACUGUUACUAUCUUUAUAUGAAUAUGUAUCAUUGUUUUGCAAAGCUUCCC